rnacentral:misc_RNA from 1 species
GGGUAUUGCUCUCCCUAGCUAGCUGGUUUCAUGUUGAAAAAUGUAGUCCACGAGAAGAAUUUUCUUUAUGCGAGUGCGAGCAAGCCUGUCAGCAGUUGGAUCAUUUCUUUUAUUUAAUGUAGAACACCCAACGCAGAUGCAAAGUUGGAGCCCUAGGAGGACUAACUGAUGGAUCAGGAUGGAGCUGUCGACGUCGACGCCUCACCUCGGGCACCGCUACCCAAGCUGAAAUCUGUAAUUAACGGAGGUUCUUCUUCCUCUCUUUCCCAUCCCAGGAAAACUGAAGGCCGUAGCAGAGAGGAGGCUGAUGUCGACCGCCAGACAAUCCUUGCGUCUUGCGACUUUGAUUCCCUCAACUCUGAUGGUGGUCCUGGCCCCAAGAAAUCUGACCAACCUCUGCUUAUCCCUCUCGCGUACGCUACUGAGCUUAUUUCCAAUAAAAAAACUCCACUUAAUGGCUUUCAGAAGCUUGAAGGUGUUCCCAAGCUCUAUACUUUCGAAGAACUAGCGAAGGCAACUGGUAGUUUCUCUAACAAGAACCAGCUUGGUGUGGGUGGCUGCGGUCAAGUUUUUAAGGGAGAAUUUCCCAAUGGUGAAGUGGUUGCAAUCAAGAAGCUUAAAUAUGAGGCUGGACAGUCACAGGUGGAAAUGAAAGCUGCACAACUUCAAUUUGAGGUUGAGAUUCAAACUCUUAUUCGCAUCCGUCACCGGAAUCUUGUCAAGCUGUUAGGGUACUGUAAUGAUGAAGCGGACAGAUUGUUUGUUUGUGAGUUCGUUCCCAACAACUCCUUGAAAUCUCAUUUGCACGGUCAGUCCUGUCCCUAUUUUAAUUGACAUCCUAAAGGCAUGGAAUAUGUGAUUGAUAUUUUUUCUUUAUAAAAGGAAAUAACAUUGCAGGAAAUGGAAACUCCAUUGUCAUUUGGUCAAACAGAAUGAAAAUCGCCUUAGGCACUGCAAAAGGAUUGGCAUAUUUGC